GUGCUCACCUCAGCAAUACAUAUACUAAAAUUAGAGAGAUACAGAAAUGCUUAGCAAGGCCCCUGUGUAAGGAUGACACGCGAAUUUGUCAAAUUUGUGAAGCAUUCUAUAUUUUU
ensembl:snRNA U6 U6 spliceosomal RNA